GAUCAGUCGUGAUUACCCGCUGAACUUAAGCA
rnacentral:rRNA from 1 species